AAACCCUAAUGUUGUAAUUAAUAAAGAAAUCAAGUUAACAUAACUUCACAUUACUUAUAACACCAAGUUUUGCCAUCAAAACUUAAACAGGUGUGUUUAAAUUACUCAUUGGCAGUAAAAAUCUUUUGAAUUAAGAUUUUAAGUGUUAUUAACUCAGAAUUUCCAUUUAUUUAAAUUAUUCGUACGUCCCUGUUUAAAAAUGAUUGGUCGCGCUUGAAAUUCUGCCUUGACAACAGCGCCGAUUGGCCAAUAUAACACAAGGCGGGAAUUGUUUGUCGAAUUUGCUGAAGACGCAGCACUGACUGCGGUUCACAAUCAUUUGCAGGAACACCUGAAAGAAGAAAUAAAUAAUACAGUUUAAAGUUAAAUAGCGGGCCAGCUGCACAGUGCACAAGCAGUCAGACAGGCGUUAAAGCAGGCGGGAAGAGAGUCGUCGUGAAAGACCCAGAGUACGCUGGGACAGUAACAUUAGCAGGCAGGUGGUUAUGAAGCAGACGAGGAGGGGGAAGAGUCGAGGCCACAGGAGUAACGUUACGCUGGUCUACGUAGAGUUUAAUAGGAUUGCUGGUAAGAUCUUGAAAAGGGAAUUUUACGAGACCCUUGACCAACAUAGUACAUGGCUCUUGGACAUUUUCAGAGCCAGAACGGGAGUUGCUGGUCAGCUUUUGAUGAACCUUCUGAAGCAACAAAGCUAUCAGAGCCAACUGAAACUGAACUUUGGUGCUUCAAGGACUACCCCUUUGGUUUGGAGAUGACUCCUGCUUUCUUUAAGAUGUGUUUGGUAAGUGUUCCAAGGAGAAAAUGUCCAAAAGACACCCUCUCACCCUCUAUACACACUCUAACACAUUCACAAUCUCGGUCAUUCACACACACUAUAUCAAUCUAAAGGG